CGUGUAGAUGGCUUUUUUAAGUCAGCUGUGAAAUCUCCUGGCUCAACCGGGAGAGGUCAGUUGAUACUGAGGAGCUUGAGGGCAGCAGAGGAAGAUGGAAUUCCCGGUGUAGUGGUGAAAUGCGUAGAUAUCGGGAGGAACACCAGUGGCGAAGGCGGUCUUCUGGGCUGUUUCUGACAUUGAGGCGCGAAAGCGUGGGGAGUGAAGCGGAUCAGAUACCCGCGUAAUCCACGCUAUAAACGGUGGAUACUAGGUAUGGGGGGUAUCGACCCUCUCCGUGCCGCAGCUAACGUUUUAAGUAUCCCGCCUGGGGACUACGGCCGCAAGGUUAAA
rnacentral:rRNA from 1 species